rnacentral:rRNA from 1 species
GACGAACGCUGGCGGCGUGCUUAACACAUGCAAGUCGAACGAAGUGGCGAACGGGUGAGUAACGCGUAAUCAACCUGCCCUUCAUAGGGGGACCACAGUUGGAAACGACUGCUAAUACCGCAUACUGAAGGAGGUGAUUGCGUCUGAUUAGCUAGUUGGAGGGGUAACGGCCCACCACGGCGAUGAUCAGUAGCCGGUCGGAGAUGAUGAACGGCCAAAUUGGGACUGAGAAACGGCCCAGACUCCGACGGGAGGCAGCAGGGGGGAAUCUUCCGCAAUGGACGAAAGUCUGACGGAGCAACGCCGCGUGAGUGAUGACGGCCUUCGGGUUGUAAAGCUCUGUUAAUCGGGACGCGGUACCGGAAUAGAAAGCCACGGCUAACUACGUGCCAGCAGCCGCGGUAAUUC